GCACGGGUGCGUAACGCGUGGGAACCUGCCUUUAGGUUCGGAAUAACUCAGAGAAAUUUGAGCUAAUACCGGAUGAUGUCUUCGGACCAAAGAUUUAUCGCCUUUAGAUGGGCCCGCGUUAGAUUAGAUAGUUGGUGGGGUAAUGGCCUACCAAGUCGACGAUCUAUAGCUGGUCUGAGAGGAUGAUCAGCCACACUGGGACUGAGACACGGCCCAGACUCCUACGGGAGGCAGCAGUGGGGAAUAUUGGACAAUGGGCGAAAGCCUGAUCCAGCAAUGCCGCGUGAGUGAUGAAGGCCUUAGGGUUGUAAAGCUCUUUUACCAGGGAUGAUAAUGACAGUACCUGGAGAAUAAGCUCCGGCUAACUCCGUGCCAGCAGCCGCGGUAAUACGGAGGGAGCUAGCGUUGUUCGGAAUUACUGGGCGUAAAGCGCGCGUAGGCGGCGAUCCAAGUCAGGGGUGAAAUCCCGGGGCUCAACCCCGGAACUGCCCUUGAAACUAGGUUGCUAGAAUACUGGAGAGGUGAGUGGAAUUCCGAGUGUAGAGGUGAAAUUCGUAGAUAUUCGGAAGAACACCAGUGGCGAAGGCGACUCACUGGACAGUUAUUGACGCUGAGGUGCGAAAGCGUGGGGGAGCAAACAGGAUUAGAUACCCUGGUAGUCCACGCCGUAAACGAUGAUAACUAGCUGUCCGGGCUCAUAGAGCUUGGUGCGCAGCUAACGCAUUAAGUUAUCCGCCUGGGGAGUACGGGU
rnacentral:rRNA from 1 species